GGUACAAGAGCAUGGGAUUAGCAACCGUGCAAACAAGAGAGCACAUGGUGAGGAUGAAGGUAAUCAAGGAGAUGAAUAGAACGGGAGUGGAGGCAAUGCGCACAAGGGUCGGCAUGAAGAAUAAUAUCAUCCGAAACCUCCCCAAGAAUGUCCCAUAUUAGUCCUAGACUUUAAUUUCUUGUUGAAUCAGCAGUUUAAGUAAACUUUUAAAUUUAAACAAAAAAGAAAAAAAAAUCUCAGAUAUAGUAUGGUUUUCAGUGUAAGCGCUUGUUAUUAAUUUUAUUAUGACUGUCUGGUCUACAGAUUUGUUAGUAAAACAUUGACAUGCUCCAGUUGUUUCAUGAAAGAAUUUUCAGUUUGUUUCUUCUGGCCAUCCUCCAUUGGUCCUUUCUCUUUACUUGUUAGAAUGAUUCAUUAGGAUCGAGACUUUGUAGACCUCCAUUGUCUUGAGAAUGGCUAUGCUAAAUUUUCCUUUAGCUUGGUUUACCACGGUUGAUGUUGCACGUACACUGGAGCUCCGUUUCUAUUUCUUGGAAGCCGGUCAGGCAUUGUUGGAUAUUUACAUUACAUUAUACCUAUGCUUUGCCCAUUUUGAAAUGACAUUUACCGCUCCCUGUCAUUGUCCGCGAAUCUUCUUGGUUACGCAAGUGUUCACUUAGUCUUCACAGAACCUUCAUCUUUUCUCAUUCUUUCUUCUCAUCUCUGAGACUCCGACCAUCUCUUCCUCUGCUAUUAUAUUUUUGCUGUGGACACUGUAAAUUUGAAAGGGUAACUUUUAAUUUAUCCCAUAUUCUAUGUAGAAUCACAAUUUUUAAUUUUUCUCUCAAAAGUACAAAAAUAUAAAUUUACCUUCAUUUACUGUUUAGAAGAUGAAAAAAUAAUUCAAGUUGCCCUUAUUUGCUAUGUUCUGAAUAAAAUAGAUGAUAAACUUAAGAUUGUCAUUAUAUUUAUGGAUUGAAUUGAAGUUUACCCAAAUUGGAAUUUUGUUUGUUUUUAUAUGUUUUUAGUGUAGUGAGUGUCAUGCAACAGUACAUAAACCACUAGAGCUGCCAUAAAUCCUUGCUAGUUCUUGUAUCUUACAGAAUGUCAUCAUUUUCAUCAUCAUCAAAAAGAUUCUUAAAAGUUAAAAUAUAGCUCAAUUCAGCAUAGAAUCCAAAUUCAACAAAGAAUAUCCCAUUGUUGAAUGAUAAAAUAGUCAGGAGGUUUUAAGUUUCACAAAUUUGAAACCCAAAUUCAGUGGCGAAGUAAGGAUUUUAAUUUGGGGAUUAUCAAAAUAUAUUGCAAGUUCGUAUUUAAAGAAGAUUGGGGGUUGUCUUGAAAAAUAAUUUAAGGGACAGUUUAAAAACUUCUUAAUCUUAUUUCUUAAAAAUUUUUAAAAGCUUGGUGGUUGCCUUGGCAACCCUAGGCGUGAACAUAGUUCCACCCCUGCCUAAAAUCCUGCAUCAGUCAGUAGUAGUAGGCAGCCUCCAGUGUUCGUAGCCUGUGGUUGAUAGAAAAUAAACCUGGUUGAAGAAAGAGUCAUCUUUUGUCACAUUCUUGCACAAUCUUUUCUUAUGUCACGAUAACAUAAAGAGAGAAUGGUAAGAAAUAACCUGAAACUCAGAACAUGAUCAAACUAACUAUUUUAAUAGAAAGUUCUGUAUGUUGACUCUCUCAUGUUGUCACGCAUCUCAUCACUCAGAAAAUUAUUAAUUGCUUAUUUCCCUUUCUUCUUUGGCACUUCAUAUUUUAAUUUGUUUUGCAACCACAAAAACAAAAUAAAUUGGGAUUCAUACAUCUUACGCGUGCUGACUUUGAAUGAUUCAUAACAAAAGAUGAUCAAGACACCUAUUAUUAUUAAUAGUUUUUCGAAUGUCAUUAAUUUUCCACCAUAUGUCAUUCUCGAUGAAGCUUAUUGGUUAUUCAUUUCCUCUGUGCCUUCGCUGAAACUUCAUGUGCAUUAUUUCAUACAACUUUAGCGGGACAUACUGAUCAUCAAGUUGUGAAGAGCCCAAGAACAAGUCUUUGGGUAGAAGCAAAAACGCAAUCAAAGUUCAAGUAAUAAAAUGUCAAUGUGAUGUAUAUCUCAUCAAAUUAAUUGGUAGUUAAUUGUAUACCAUCUACAAGUAGGGGACUGAAAAUUUAUUGUCUUAAAUUUCGAAUGUUAGAUUAUAUAAGAUAUAAAAACUAAAUGCCUAAUUAUUCUAGUAUAAUAUAUGCACAUUUCUUUUGACAAUUUGGCAAUUUGUAUUAUAAAGAUAAAAUAGUUAAAUUAAAUUAUGUUAAAUCAACCUCAACGAUCAAAGAUGAUCAACAAACCUAAUAAAAGAAUAACUUAAUUGAUUAAUUAUUUAAACUAUCUCUCUAUUAUAAUUUUUUUUUAAAAAGAACAAAAUUAUGUAAUUUUGUUUCUCUAUUAGUGACUAACUAAGAAAAAUUAUUUAACUAAACACAUAUACCACAAUUAUAUAAAUUUAAACUCUAUUUGUGUAUCAUAAUAGAUUUCACAGUAAACUCGAUUUAAGAUAACUUCAAUCACAUGGCCAAGUCUUAAUUAUGCAUGUUGACUCUGGUAAAAUUAAUGAAGAUGACUUGAUACCAACAAGUGCGUAGAUCAACUGGCAUGAUUUUGGUUCGAGACUUAAGAAUGCAGCUGCGUUAAAUAUUUAUUGGGAGAACUUUGCCGCCCUAGUAGUAAUACUCGGCUCGAAUCUGAAUUAGUCGGGACUCAAUAUAAUUUUCGGAUAUCAAAUAAUUUAAUACACCAAAAAAUAAUGAAGAUGACUUGAUGUAUACAGAUAUCAUAAAAAUUUCCUCCAGUUUCCACUGUAUGUAACUCUCAAAGCGGUUUCUUAAUUGGUUAUUUCAAAUGUCCUUUUAGUCUCCAUUGAACCAUCGUAUCUAUCUUGCUUAUUCUCAUCUCUGGCCAACUUUCCACCUCCAAUUAACAAAAUGUCUGUAAAGUAUUUCGUGCAACUUUUAGAGUUGUGAAGAGGAAGAAGUCGAUCUACAAAUUUUUGGAUAGACGCGGAAGCAAAAAGGCAAUCAAAGUCAGUAUUAUUUCAAAUACAGUUUUCUUUUUCAUUUUUUUUUCCUUAACUUCUCGUUUAGCUUUCAUAAAGCUGCUAGACCUGACUUCAGCUGCCUCUAAUCUUUGCUUUUGAAUGUUCUUGUAUCUUCCAGAAUGUCAGCAAACGGGCUACCAGACAGGCCAUCAGAAAACGGGCUACCAGACGGGCCAUCGGACGGGCCACCACCAUUAUGUAAGUCAUUAAAGAUGAGCCCACACCCAAAAAGAAAAAAAAAACCAACCCGACGACACUCCCCAACGAUUUUAACGAAGUAGAUUUUAGUUUCAUGCAUAUUUCAAGAAUACCUAUGAUGUAUUACAAUCAAUUAAUGUAUGCAUGCCAUGCGUAUUUAAAUUUAAUAUAACUACAACUUGUAUGAUGAUUUUUUAAAUUAAAUAUACACACGUCAUAACAUUAUUUGAUUGUUGUAUGAUUGAUAUGAUACCUCUGAUUUAUUUUAAAAUUUCUAUCAUAUCUGAGGUUGUGCUCAUGCAGACAGAGGGCUGUGAUUAGUGGUAUUUAUGCACACAUGAUAGCAAAAGACAUUUGAAAGCUAAGCACAUAUAUAUCAACACAGGAUCGAAACUCAACAAACAAUAUAUUGUUGAAUGGUGCAAUAAUCGAAUUUUGAUGUUGUACUGAUCUAGGCUGUGCUGAGCAUUUAAAGUUAUUACACCGUGUGUACAACAAUAUGUUAAGCUUAACAUUAAAUGCUGUGCCAAGCAAUUAAAUUUAUACAAUAACCAUCAAUGACAGCUCCUACAUUAUUUCACUAAUCUGAAACGCUUUUAUUAACUUGCAGUCAUAGCAGCCAUGUCGGUAAUAUUUGGACUUAUAGUAAUUAUAGUAGUAUUUUACAUCAUCCGAUAUUUUUGGGAAAAGCUAAAUCGUACGGAAACAGAAACCCGAAAUGCUGCAUCUGCUAAUAAGCCUGAAGAGGACGUGGUUGAAGUAAUAUGGGAAGCUGGUCAAACAAUGGAGAGAUUCCUUCAAGAAAUCGGAAGGGAGAAGCCGGUCAGGUUUACUUCUCUCCAGCUCAAUAAUUUUACGAGCAAUUAUUCAACUCGGUUAGGAUUUGGAGGUUUUGGAGAAGUCUAUAAAGGACAAUUUCCUAAUGGUGUGAAAAUUGCAGUGAAGGUUCUUAAUAGGAACCUAGGCAGAAUUGCUGAAGAGCAAUUCAUGGCUGAAGUGGGAACUAUUGGAAGAACUUAUCAUAUAAAUUUGGUUAGGCUUUAUGGUUUUUGCCACGACCAACACAUGACUGCACUUGUUUAUGAGUACAUGGAAAAUGGUUCACUUGAUGGGUAUCUGUUUGGCAAGAAACGAGCAAUAGAAUGGGAGAAGUUGCACGAAAUUGCUAUAGGGACAGCCAAGGGUUUAGUUUACUUGCACGAAGAAUGCCAACAGAGAAUCAUUCAUUACGACAUAAAGCCCGAAAAUGUUCUCUUAGAUGCAAACUUCUCUCCUAAGGUAGCAGAUUUCGGGCUUGCAAAGCUUUGUGAUAGGAACAAGACUCAUGUUACAAUAAGUGGAUAUAAGGGCACUCCUGGCUACUCUGCACCAGAAUUUUUAUCAGGGAAUUACCCUCUUACACAUAAAUGUGAUGUCUAUAGCUUUGGAAUGGUGUUGUUUGAGAUUGUUGGAAGGAGAAGAAAUGCAAUUGUUGGAGCCACCGAGAGCCUCGAUUGGUUUCCAAAACAUGUGUGGGAAGAAUAUGAGAAAUGUGAAUUGGGUGCAAUGAUACUGGGAUGUGGGAUUGAAGAGAAAGACAAAGAGAAAGCAAAAAGAUUGUGCAUGGUGGCUUUGUGGUGUGUGCAAGACUCUCCCGAAGAUAGACCUCCAAUGAGUGCCGUGAUCAAGAUGCUGGAGGGAGUAGUGGAAGUUUUACCGCCACCAAAACCAUUUCGCUAUUUGGACUUAAUCAAGAUGACGAGGUUGAAGUCACUUGAAUCUAGUGAUGGUUUAAAUUCCUCUAAUCAGUCUCGCUGGUACAAGGAGACCACUCCAAUAAUGGCCAAGCAUGAUACACAAUAGCUACUUGCUGAUAACAACUAAGCUUGUGCCUUGUGUUCUCCAUUCCUUGAAUUUUCCAAUACUUGUAUUUUUUUUUUACUCAGUUUGUAAGCUAGAGCCUUGUGUUUUUCUUGUAUCCUUAGUUUUGUCUGUCAUUGUAAAUUGUAACUAAGCAGUAUCAAAACCAUAAUUAGCUAUGUCUUUGAAAAUGGGAAAAGCAUUAACAAGGCGACUUUUGCUUCUGCGGCAUCAAAGCUCUCAAAAGCCAGGAUCCAGGGUCCUUGAAUUAAUUUCCCGAUUUCUCCAAUCGUCUUGUCCUCAGAAUGCCAGCAAUCCUUCCUCAAAUUUGGAACACGGGGUCACCAUCACAAACUGGCGGGCGCUCUUGGUAACCUCUUACACUUGUUAGAGAAAAGGAGAGCCUAAUUUCGCAGCUGAUUUAAUUUUACAUAAUUUGCAGUUACAAUUCUGGUACUGGUCAUCUUACCAAUAAUAGGCGCUGUAGCUUACUGUUUGGCAAAACUAGUAAGUUCAAUAAAUGUGAACCUACAGUUCCUGAAGCAUCCUUGAAAACCGUCCAAGAUUUGAAGGAUGAUGAGCAGACAAUGGAGAAAUUCCUGCGAGAUAUUCCUCUUUUCACUAGCGAUGAGUUUUAUUUAUAAAAAUAAAAGUUGUGCGUCGUAAAAUCGAAUCGCCAAGGAGACGAAAGAACACAACUUGCCGGGGCUGACCUGCAAUGCAUGUAACAGAGAAUUCAAUGACGACGCCGAGAAGAAGCUUCACUACAAGUCCGAUUGGUAUCGCUACAAUCUCAAACGCGAGGUCUCUUUCUCUCUCUUUAACUUUUAAUUUUCAGUUUCCUUCUCUUUAAAAUUUUAUGAGAUUAAGCGCUUCUGCUUGGCGGCGGUACUUUGUUGAAGAAGUAUAUAUGUAUCUUACAAGAAUUGCUUGUCCAAAAAGUGCUUCUGUAAAUUGAAUGUUUUAUAGCCAAAAUAGGCAAAUAUAAAUUUGUGUUCCGCCAUCUGGUACAGCAUUAGGCACAUAAUUGCAUACAUAGAUUCGUAUAGAAGAUAGUAAAAUAUAUGAAAGGCAACUACAUUAGCAAUAUGCGAAUGCUAGAACUUUUUAUUUUUAUUUUGAUUUCUAUUUUAAUGCCGCUCUUCUUUUUUUUUUUCUUCUAAAGUUAUGAUGUUUGAGCUACUCUAGCUUAGAAAUUGCAUAAAAAAAAAAAAAUUCUAUUUUUUCAAUGCCAAAGGCUCUCUCCAAGUUCUUGAGUGGUUUGUUUGUAAUUGGAGUAGAGUCUUUUAGGGGUUAAGGAAUAUAUUUUUCCUGUACCAAGACAGUAUCAAAUUUUGGGUUUUUGGGGAGGAGAUUGUUGAGGUUUUUUUUUUCUCGAAUUUUUCUAGAAUAUCAUUAUUCUGUUUAAUAAUUUUCACUCCUUCCUACCGUAACAUAACCUUGACAUACUUGUCGAUUUAGGUAAUUGUAAGUUCUUUUUAAGAAGCUGAAACUGACAACCAAAACAAUCAUAAAGUAACCUUAAGAAACUUGUUUGCAGACAGUUUACUUGCUAUACCAAGAGGUCGUUAUUGUUUAAUCACUCCAUUAGGUACCCUGCAUGAAAUCUGUUUUAAUUUUUAUGAUGGUUUGGAGCUCUUCAAGAAAAUGAAUUUUUAGUUGAUGCGCUUGAAUAAUGUGGAAAAAUAUCUUUUUUCUGCUCUUCCCUAUAAAACAGGUGGCUGGGGUUCCCGGAGUGACAGAAGCUCUAUUUCUGGCUAGACAAGCGGCACUUGCUCAAGAGAAAAAUAAGAAUGAGACCCAAAUGACGUACAGUUGUGGUCUUUGUGGUAAAGGGUACAGAAGCUCUAAGGCUCUUGCUCAGCAUCUCAACUCACGAAGCCACAUUAUGCGGGCUACUCAAGGAACGAGUAAUGAAGAGAAGGAGAAGGUAAUAAUUAGGCCAAUUUCGCUUCGUGAUGUAAAUAAUCUUGCUGUUGUUGGAGGAAGACCUUCUCUAGACGUAUGGCAGAUCCUUACUACUCAAUUUGGGGCAAGAUCUAGAUCCAGAGUUCUGCACUUGAGAACUCAUAUUCAAACCACAAGGAAGGGACCGAUGACACUUCAUGAAUACUAUACAAAGAUGAAAACCCCUCUAGAUGCAUUAAGAGCAGCUGGUAACAACAUGGGCGAUGAAGAUUUUAUACUUUGCUUGCUUGUUGGCCUAGGAUCUGAGUAUGAUUCGAUUGUCACUACAAUCAAUGCUCGAUCUGAAAGCACAAUGCUCUCUUAUGUGUAUGGAAUGCUAUUGAGUCAUGAAAAUAGGAUUGAGUAUUAACACUCUGUUAGUCACAUGGAUUAUCAAGCUAAUCUAGCUUAUCACAGAGGAAAUCAGAGAAGGAACUGGCAAGCAAAUUUCAACUUCAAUAGAAAUAACAACAAUUAUGGUGGAAGACAGCGUGGAAACUUAAAUGGAAAAUAGUUUGGUGGAGGCAAUUUUAAUCAAAGCUCGAAUGCAUCUGAUAAGAUCAAAGGCAAAAGUCAGAUUGACGAAGAAGAGCCUAAGGGACCUUGCCAAAUUUGUUAUAGGAAGAAUCAUACUGCUGCUCACUGCUGGUACAAGUUCAAAAAGAAUUAAAUACCUAAUCAAAUGCCAAAUUAGAGAAGUGUUUAUGUAGUUGAAAAUGGAGGGAACAGAGAUGGUGUCUGGUAUCUUGACGGUGGAGUAACAAAUCACAUUUCUAAUGACUUCAAUAAUCUCAACAUCAGCUCAGAAUACAAAGGAAAUGAUCAACUUGUUGUAGGUAAUGGAGUUAAACUCAAAAUAGUUUCUAUUGGUCAUUAAUUGCUCAGUACACUUGAACCACACACCUUAUCUCAUAUUAAACUCAAUCACAUACUUUAUGUUCCAGAAAUAACCAAGAAUUUGAUUAGUGUCUCAAAGCUUUUACAUGAUAAUGAUAUCUAUAUUGAAUUCAAUGAAUCAUUUCGUGCUGUUAAGGACAAGAGAAGGGGGAGUGUUCUUAUAAGAGGAAUGGCUAAAGAUUGAUUGUACAAACUGUUGAGUUUGCCUCUUAAAUCCAGUCAAGUCAAGUCUGUUCUAUCACCAUCUACUACCAAUCCCAGUCUCUUCUUAGUAAAUAAAGCUCACCAACCAGAGUUUGUGCUAUCAGUAAAUUGUAGUGAAAAAUGUACAAGUAGCAAAGUGCUUGAUCUGUGGCACUUGAGGUUAGGUCAUCCUAAUGUCAUUGCUCUUAGAAAAAAAUUUGUCAGCUUGUAACAUUUCUCUUAGAAAUAAAAUGUCUGAUUUUUCUUUUUGCAAAGCAUGUCAGUAUGGGAAACAACAUAUAUUAUCAUUUAAAAGCAGUGAAACAAAGACAACAAGUGCUUUGGAAAUCAUACAUAGUGACCUCUGGGGUGCUGCUCCCACAAUUUCAAAUCAAGGGUUUAGAUAUUACAUAGCUUUCAUUGAUGAUAAAAUAAGUUACACUUGGAUUUAUGGAUUAACACACAAAUCUCAAGCACUCACAACAUUCAUUACUUUUAAGAACCAGAUUGAGAAAAGUUUAGACCUGAAGAUUAAAGCCUUACAGCAUGACAUGGGAGGUGAAUACAAAGCAUUCGAAACUUAUCUCAAACAUGAAGGGAUAUCUUUAAGAUAUUCUUGUCAAUACACUCACCACCAAAAUAGAAAGGCUGAAAGAAAGCAUAGACACCUUAUAGAAACUAGUCUAACCCUUAUUUCUCAAGCAAACUUACCUCUAAAAUUCUGGUGGGAAGCCUUCUCAAAUGCCACAUACCUCAUAAAUAGAACCAGUACUCAUAUUCUAAAUGACAAGAUACCAUUUGAAGUUCUUUACUCAAAGAAACCAAAUUACUCCAUUAUAAAAAUCUUUGGCUGUGAGUGCUAUCUUUUUUUAAGACCUUACAACAAUCAUAAGUUUAGUUUCCAUACUUCCAAAUGUGUAAACUUGGGUUUCAAUCAUACACAUAAAGGUUACAUGUGCCUAAACUCAAAUGGAAGAAUAUAUAUUGCAGCACAUGUAAAUUUCAAUGAAAGCUUUUUUCUUUUCCAAACAAAUCCAGAAUUCAUAAACUCCAAAUAGAAACAGUCAACUAAGUCUACAAACACUUUCAGUAAAUUCAUCACAGUGUCUUUUCCUUCUGAGAGUCAGAGACAACAACAACUAGUGCAAAUUCAUCUAAUAAUCCAAUCCUAGAAAUUACUCAUUCUAAUGAUAAGAGUUCUAAUAACAACAAUGAUUUUACUUGUCUAGUGCUCAACAAUGCUUCAAAUGCACAAUCUAAAACUUAAAACCCUUCAAAUUGUUUUAUCACACCUGGAAAGAAUAACCUUCAAACUCAAAAUCUAGAGAUAUCUCAAUCCACUCCUCAACUCAAACCCUCACAUCCUAUGAUAACCAGAGUUAAAGUUGGAAUCUUUAAACUUAAAGCCUACAAUACAAAAAAAGCCCUAUCACUAGACAUACCCUAAGUGUUACUGAAGCUUUAAAUGAUCAAGACUGGAAACUAGCCAUGCGAGAUGAAUUCAAUGCUUUAAUGAAAAAUCAGACUUGGUGUUUAGUUUCCCCAGAACAAAAUAUGAAGCUUGUAGGAAACAAGUGGAUUUUUAGAGUUAAGCAAAACUCUAAUGGAUCAAUAAGUAGAUAUAAAGCCAGAUUGAUAGCAAAUGGCUUCUUGCAAACAGAAGGGGUAGAUUAUCAUGAAACAUUUAAUCCUGUAGUUAAGGCUGUAACAAUAAAGAUUGAAUCUUGCUACUGUAAAUAACUGGAAGCUAAGACAAGUUAACAUCAAUAAUGUUUUUCUUAAUAGAGACUGACUGAAACAGUAUAUAUGCCUCAGCCAGAAGAGUUUGUGAAUCUAGAUUACCCAAAGCACAUUUGUAAAUUGAAGAAAGCUCUUUAUAGCUUAAAACAAGCACCUAGAGCUUGGUUUGACAAACUUAAAGCAAUUCUAAAAUCAUGGAACUUCUGUCGAGCAAAAUCAGACACAUCAUUAUUUUUCAAACAGAAUGGAAAUGAUAUGGUUAUUCUGUUGAUCUAUGUUGAUGAUAUCAUAGUCACUGGGAGUAAUAAUGUUGAGAUUGAACAGAUCAUUCAAGGCUUAGGUAAUACCUUUGCUCUUAAGGAUUUGGGACAACUAAAUUUCUUUCUUGGUAUUGAGGUUACAAGAAAUGAAAACACUCUAGUACUGUCUCAGACCAAAUAUCUAAAGGAAUUACUUGCCAAAUUUGAUUUAAAGAACUCCAAUGGAGCAAAUACUCCACUUGCAACAACUAAGAAGUUGAGUAAAUAUAUGGGGGUCAAAUGCUCUGAUCCAACUCAAUGUAUGAGAGCUAUUAGAGGACUUUAGUAUGUUGUGCUUACUAGACCAGAGAUUGCAUAUGCAGUAAAUAAAUUGAGCCAGUUUAUGGUAAAUCAUCUGCAGCCACAUUAGAUAGCCUGCAAACGAUUGAGCCAGUUUAUGGCAAAUCCUCUGCAGCCACAUUGGAUAGCCUGCAAACGAGUACUAAGGUAUCUGAAAGAAACAAUUGACUAUGGUUUAAGUUUCAAGAAGUCAGAUUCUCUUGACUUGGUAGUUUAUUCAGAUGUUAAUUGAGGAAGUGAUCCUGAUGACAAAAGAUCUACCAGUGGUUACUGUGUAUACUUAAGUGAUAAUUUGGUAAGCUAAAGUUCAAAAAAACAGAGUCUGAAUAUAGAGCUAUGGCAUUGGCUUCUGCAGAGAUAACAUGGAUUUGCUCAAUCAUCAAGGAAAUAAAUGUAAAACUCAGUUGCACUCUAUUACUAUUAAGUGACAAUACCAGUGCAGCUGCAAUUGCCACAAAUCCAGUUUUUCACUCUAAAACAAAACACAUAGAAAUAGACAUUCAUUUUGUCAGAGACAAAGUCAAAAAGAAAGAAGUAGAAAUUGCUUUUGUUUCAAGCAAUGAUCAAAUUGCUGAUGUAUUAACCAAACCACUUACUUAUCUGAAGUUCAGCUUCUUCAGAAACAAACUUAAAGUCUCUUCCAGAGACUUAAGUUGAGACUUUAAGUUUGAGAAAGGAUGUUGAAAUAAUGAAUAAAGCUGAAUUUGGAUCAAGUCAUGUGGGAGUACCAGCGGGAACAUACUUGCUGACCAAGGAAGCUGCUUACACGAGUGGUGAGAUAAAGAUCACACGUACAAAGCCAAAAGAUUCCAGAUGGCAAAACAGUUUUACAGAGAUUCCUCAAUUGUUGUAUGAUGUAAUGAGUUAGUCAUUAAUGAACGGCUGUGAUCAAAAAGUCCAUAACAAUACAUUCUUUGAGUUUGUAAAAUGAAAUGAACGAGCUGCAGGAUGCUGAGCUAAGCAGCUAUAAAUACCAACUGGAUGUAUCUCAAAUCUUAUUGAAUAAAACAGUUACAAAGCUUCUCUCUACUCUCUCUCUAUGUGAUCUUCAAAUUCUUUCAAUUAACAGCCUGGAAGCAGUUAGGAAGCGUAUGGAAGCAAAACGUCAUUGAAAAAUACAUUUCGGCGAUGCUGACGAGGAGGAGGAGGCCGAGUUAGAAGAGUUCUAUGACUAUAGCAGCAGGUCAUUGUCUUCAAAGUUCAUCUUUUUUUUGUUUCUUAUUUCCUAAUUUGAUUUAUUUACUUUUCAACAAAAUAAUAAAAUUCACUUUGUUCUGACAAUUACAUGGAUGAGGAUGGGAAACAACUGAUCUAAUCCAAUGACAUGGCCAACAAUGUAGAGCUUGGUGGUGGGUCUGAGCUUAUCAUAACUAGGAGAACAGAUAAAGGAACAUCGACUAAAAUCUUCGGCUCCCGUGAAUAUCAGCGGUAUUAUCGCCAGAAACCCCACCCGUCACCCGCAAAUAAUGUGGCCAUUGCAGUUGCGUUGGCCUCAAGUUGUGUUUUUAAUCUUUCUCAACUUGCGCAACCUGGGAAUCCCCUCCUCUGAACAUGGCAUCCUGUAUUUUCAGGUACAAGAGCAUGGGAUUCGGUGAUUAGCAACCGUGCAAACAAGAGAGCACAUGGUGAGGAUGAAGGUAAUCAAUGAGAUGAAUAGAACGAGAGUGGAGGCAAUGCGCACAAGGGUCGGCAUGAAGAAUAAUAUCAUCCGAAACCUCCCCAGGAAUGUCCCAUAUUAGUCCUAGACUUUGAUUUCUUGUUGAAUCAGCAGUUUAAGUAAACCUUUAAAUUUAAAAAAAAAAAAAACUCAGAUAUGGUAUGGUUUUCGGUGUAAGCUCUUAUUAUUAUUAUUAUUAUGAGCAAAACUAAUUUGCAACCAGGGUUUGGUAUUCCUUUUUUGUCUUUUUUAAGGUCAACUAUAAUGGAGUCCUAUAAUUUGUUAUAAAAACAAAAAAAAUUAAAAACUUUUAAAUUU
rnacentral:lncRNA from 1 species